AGGGCGCAUGGUGGAUGCCUUGACUGAAUGGAGCGAUGAAAGACGUGGUCUGGCUGCGAUAAGUUUCGGGGAGGUGCCAAACAACCUUCGAUCCGAAAAUUUCUGAAUGGGGGAACCCCAUCGAGCAACACUCGAUGACCUUGCACUUGAUGCGAGGAGCACACCCGGGGAAUUGAAACAUCUUAGUACCCGGAGGAAUAGAAACCAAUAGGUAUUUCCUGAGUAGCGGCGAGCGAAACGGAAGAAGCCCAAACCUCUGCGCUUGCGUAGAGGGGUUGUAAGGCGUUAGUGCUGCAUUUAUGUAGGAAGAGUUACAAAAUAUGUUAUUAAAAGAACAACCUGGGAAGGUUGACCCGAGAGGGUAAUAGUCCCGUAUUUGAAAAUGACAUAACUCUUUAGCUAACGUUCUUGAGUAGCUCGGGACACGAAUAGCCCGAGUGAAUCUGCCAGAACUAACUGGUAAGGCUAAAUAUACAUUCAGAUCGAUAGUGAACAAGUACCGUGAGGGAAAGGUGAAAAGAACCCCGAUGAGGGGAGUGAAAUAGAACUGAAACCAUGUGUCUACAAGGAGUCGAAGAGGUCUUGCACCUCGACGGCGUGCCUAUUGAAGAAUGAGCCAACGAGUUAAUGCAUAUGGCUGGCUAAGCCCUUUUCGGGUGGAGCCACAGCGAAAGCGAGUGUGAAUAGCGCGAAAUAAUAGUCGUAUGGAUUAGACCCGAAAUCAGGUGAGCUUACCAUGAGCAGGGUGAAGGAGUUCGAAAGAUCUCUGGAGGCCCGAACCGUUGCGUCGUACAACGCGCUCGGAUGACUUGUGGUAAGGAGUGAAAAGCUAAUCGAACUUGGUAAUAGCUGGUUCUCUCCGAAACAGCUUUAGGGUUGGCGUCACGUGUUCCUACUGGGGGUAGAGCACUGGAAGGUGUGAACAGGGCGAAAGCUCGUCACUCCUAUCAAACUCCGAAUACCAGUAGUUAAAAGCGUGGCAGUUAGAGUCAGGGGGCGAAGCUCCUGUGCUCAAAAGGGAAACAGCCCAGAUCGCAAGUUAAGGUCCCUAAAUUGAUACUAAGUACAAACGAGGAGGUGAGGUUUCUUUGACAGUGAGGAGGUUGGCUUAGAGGCAGCCACCCUUUAAAGAUAGCGUAACAGCUCACUCACUCAGAGACCUUGCGCCGAAGAUGAUCGGGGUUAAGUAUCGUACCGAAACUGCGGGCUUGUGAAUUUCAUUCAGGAUAUGUUUACACGUCCUGAAUGAAGUUCGCAAGCGGUAGGAGAGCGUUCCAUUCGCGAUGAAGCCAAAGGGGUGACCCAUGGUGGAGUAUAUGGAAGUGAGAAUGUUGGCACGAGUAACCGCAUUGUGGGUGAGAUUCCCACACGCCGAAAUACCGAGGUUUCCUGGGCUAUGAAGAUCAGCUCAGGGUUAGUCGGGCCUAAGCCGAUCCCGAACGGGGGAGGCGAUGGACAUACGGUUAAUAUUCCGUAACCUGCGCACUGUGCGAUGGAGUGACGGGGGAAACAAGUACGAGCACCUUACUGGAUUGGUGUUUUUUGUUCUAAGAGAGGAUACAUAGGAAAAUCCGUGUAUCACAUACUUUCGAGAACCGAAGAAAUGCCUCUGUUCGCAGAGGUAGAUUUGUGCGAAGAGCCCUCCAAGAAAAGCUUCUAAGCUUCAACAGUGUGUGGACCGUACCGCAAACCAACACAGGUGGUAGAGUCGAGAAGACUAAGGCGAACGGGUGAAAGUUCCUCAAGGAACUCGGCAAAAAAGCGACCGUAACUUAGGGAUAAGGUCUGCCUGCUAUCUUCGGGUAGUAGGCCGCAGCGAAAGAGUCCUGGCGACUGUUUAUCAAAAACACAGCUCCGUGCGAACUCGUAAGAGGAUGUAUACGGGGUGACGCCUGACCAAUGCCGGAAGGUUAAACAUGGAUGGUGUAUGAAGUUUACUUUGUAUGCUGGGCUAUGUAAGCCCCGGUGAAUGUCGGCCGUAACUAUAACGGUCCUAAGGUAGCGUAAUUCCUUGUCUAGUAAUUUUAGACGUGCACGAAUGGCGUAACGACUGGGACACUGUCUCGAGGAACUGCCCGGUGAAAAUGCAAUAGCGGUAAAGAUGCCGCUUACCUGCAGCAGGACGGAAAGACCCCAGGAGCUUUACUACAGCUUGAUAUUGGGGGCGUGUGACUAAUGCGUAGAAUAGAUGGGAGACUUUGAAGUAGUCCUUUUGGGGAUUAUGGAGUCGUCAGUGAAAUACCAUCCUUUAUUUAUGCGUCUUCUAACCAGUAUGGAAAAACCAUAUCGAGACAGUAUCUGGCAGGUAGUUUUAGUGGGGCGCUAUCCUCCUAAAAAGUAACGGAGGAGUUUAAAGGUUCUCUAGGCGCGGAUGGAAACCGUGCCGAUAGUGUAAUGGCAUAAGAGAGCUUGACUGUGAGACGUACGUGUCAAACAGGCGCGAAAGCGGAACAUAGUGAACCGAUAGCUUGCUUUAGACGCAGCUAGAGAUUAACGGAUAAAAGUUACCCUGGGGAUAACAGGCUGGUACCGCCUAAGAGUCCAUAUCGCCGGCGGUGUUCGGCACCUCGAUGUCGGCUCACCUUAUCCUGGGGCUGAAGAAGGUCCCAAGGGUUUGGCUGUUCGCCAAUUAAAAAGGUACGCGAGCUGGGUUCAGACCGUUGAGAAGUUAUCUUGUAUGACUUCUCUACAGUCUGAAUCCCGAGGUUACGUAUGAGAGACGUAAAAGACAUCAAUUCACGGCGGCACUACAGAGUAAUGUGUAGUUGCUUAAGUUAGCCAUAUCGGUGAAACCUAUUACAAAGCAUAGGUAAUACCGAGGGAAGUCGUAACUGACCCCGUAGAGACUAGACGCUAACCAUCCUUAUGGGAUGAAGAUAUAGUCCAAAUUUAAUGACCAUGAAAUAGCGUGAGAC
rnacentral:rRNA from 1 species